UCCUCUCUCUCUCUCUCUCUGCAAUCUUUAUCUCUAUAUCUUUCUGAAAUGUUUAUUCAUUUAUUUAAUAAACUAUGUAGGUAUAUGAAUAAUAAUUGAAUAUAUAUUCUGCAAUUGAAGCUUUUGAGGUUCAAUUCGACUAUGGUGGGAGUGGUGCACCCUCAACAAUUCAUCAAAUUGAAGCCUUUUCAGUUCUGAUUCAUCUGGGUCUCGCGAUUGCUCGGUGUUGAUUUAGUAUUUUAGGGUUUCUAAUUUAGGAGCUCCAUAGAAGCUUUGUACUCUGUCUAUGUUCUCUUUUGCAAUGAAAUGCUUCUAGGUGGCCAAAGUUCAUAGCUUUGAACGUUCCCCCCAAAUAGUGUACAAUCGACAAUUAUCAUGGCGUUGCUAUUGUUUUCUUUUUCAUUUUUUCCUCUUCCUGUACUAUCGUCUUGUUUUUAUUUGAUUUCGUAAGAAAAAAAAUUGAAAAAUAUCAUCAAUAAUUUGACAACUCUCACAGCUGCUCCCUAUCGUUGAAAAAAGAAGAAGAUAUUAUACUAAAAAAAGAAAAGAUAUUAUACUAAAAAAUAAAGAAAAAAAACUUUGUCAAUUGUUUGUUCAUGGGGAUCCCUGGAUUGAGCAAUCAGAAUAGUGGGCAGCAAAGAUUAGGCAUAACUGAGCCCAUUUCAUUGGCUGGACCAACUGAUGAUGAUGCGAUCAAGACGCUUGAACUUGAGAAGUACUUGCAAGGUGUUGGAUUGUACGAGAGUCAGGAGGAGGCUGUAGUAAGGGAGGAAGUGCUUGGCAGGCUGGACCAGAUUGUGAAGAUUUGGGUUAAGAACAUCAGCCGGGCAAAGGGGUUCAAUGAACAACUGGUGCAUGAAGCAAACGCCAAGAUUUUCACCUCCGGCUCUUAUCGGUUAGGGGUGCAUGGCCCUGGAGCUGAUAUAGAUACUCUUUGUGUGGGACCUAGACAUGCAUCCAGAGAUGAAGAUUUCUUUGGUGGGCUACAGAAGAUGCUAUCUGAGAUGCAAGAAGUAACAGAAUUGCACCCUGUGCCUGAUGCUCAUGUCCCUGUGAUGAAAUUCAAGUUUAAUGGAGUUUCUGUUGAUCUCCUGUAUGCAAGAUUAGCGUUGUGGGUUAUUCCUGAAGAUUUAGAUAUAUCACAGGAAUCAAUAUUACAAAGUGUUGACGAACAAACUGUUCUUAGUCUUAAUGGUUGUAGAGUAACUGACCAGGUCCUGCGAUUGGUUCCAAAUAUUCAGACCUUUCGCACGACAUUGAGAUGCAUGAGGUUUUGGGCCAAGCGUCGUGGUGUUUAUUCAAAUGUUGCAGGUUUUCUUGGUGGUAUAAACCUGGCAUUGCUUGUUGCUCGAAUAUGCCAGUUAUAUCCUAAUGCACUUCCUGAUAUGUUAGUGUCUCGAUUCUUCAGGGUAUAUACUCAAUGGCGAUGGCCUAAUCCAGUCAUGCUUUGUGCUAUUGAAGAAGGAUCUCUUGGACUACCAGUUUGGGAUCCUAGAAGAAAUCCCAAGGAUAGAUAUCAUCUAAUGCCUAUAAUUACUCCUGUUUAUCCCUGCAUGAACUCCACUUACAAUGUGACAUCAAGUACAUUGCGUGUUAUGUCAGAUGAGUUUCGGAGGGGAAGUGAAAUAUGUGAGGCUAUGGAGGCUAGCAAGGCUGAUUGGGAUACCCUUUUUGAGCCUUAUCCCUUUUUUGAAUCAUACAAGAAUUAUCUACAGAUAGACAUAACAGCAGAGAAUGCAGAUGACCUUAGACAAUGGAAAGGCUGGGUUGGGUCUCGUCUCCGGCAGUUGACAUUGAAGAUUGAGAGGCACACUUAUGGUAUGCUUCAAUGUCAUCCACAUCCUGGUGAAUUCUCAGACAAUUCUAGACCUUUUCACCACUGUUACUUUAUGGGUCUGCAGCGUAAGCAAGGAGUUCCAGUGAAUGAAGGUGAACAGUUUGAUAUAAGGUUAACUGUUGAAGAAUUUAAACAUUCUGUCAACGUUUACACUCUAUGGAAACCUGGAAUGGAUAUCCAUGUGUCCCAUGUGAAACGCAGUAACAUUCCUAACUACAUAUUUCCUGGUGGUGUGCGACCUACCUUCCCAUCAAAAGUAACUGCCGAGAAUAAACAGAGUUCCAAAUCAAGGGCUUCUGGCCAUGGUCAAACAGAAAAGCCUCAAGGAGGUAAAGCUGUUGCAGUUGGAGCAGAUGAUGUGAGGAAGAGAAAGAGAUCAGAGGACAACAUGGAUAAUAACCCAAGGAAUUCCAGGUCCCCUGUAUCUUUACCUCCCCCCAGCAGGGAAGUUCAUGAAGAUAUAUCUCCUAUUAGUGCUUCAAGUUCUUGUUCUAUGAAAUUUGAUGAAUCAGAAGUGAAUAGUAUUGGUGGACAAAAGAGCGAGAAACUUUGUCUGAAAUCUCCAGGUGAGAUUCCUUCUGGGGAUAGUGGGACCAAUGGAUCAGUGACAAGCAACCAACAAGUGAACCCUGUAUUUGCAGCUGCUGAUACAUCUAAUUCUAAAGAAGAAGAAAAGCUAGCCAUUGAAAAGAUUAUGUCCGGUCUGUAUGAUGCACAUCAAGCCUUUCAAGAAGAACCCAAAGAGCUUGAAGAUAAUACUCAAUAUAAAAAUCAAGACAAAGAUUCUGGUGCGAACAUGAAAAACAACAUGGAAUCUUUAGACUCAAAGCCUGCAGUGCCAGAAGAGCCAGUUAUUUCUAAGGAAAUUACUUGUUCAACUCAUUUAUGCUCCAAUGAGAGCUUGGAGGAGCUUGAGAUAUCAGACUUCCCUAAACUGCUUGCUAUUGUCUGUGCUGUGCUAAAGUUGCUCAAAACUCAGUCCAAUCUGCAUAGGAGCUGCAAUUUCUUGGACUUGUUUUCAUCUCCGCCCCCUGUAGUACAUGUGCAUGCACAAUGUCUGGUUGUCCCUGUUAGUUGUUUUUUCUUUUUUAUCAAUAUAUUUUAGACAGAAUUUGGUUGAAAUUUUCUUCAAUGGUGUGCAGUACAAGUAUGGUAAAAAAGCAGCAAUAUCUCUAUACACAAAUAUAUGGUGAGGUUAUCUGGACUUCAUAUAGAUCAUAUGACCUUAUCACAUAAAUCUGACAGGUUCCUUUAUGAAUUUUUAGCAAGGGUGCUACAUUGGCAUAUGUUCCUGUUAUUUAAUCCCAGCUAUAACAUAAUAAGCUGGAUUAUAUUUCUCUGCUUCUGUUUUCUUGUUCCCUUUCAUCCUGAAUAUGCAUUUGUUAUUACUUAGAUCUUUUAUGGAUCAAUCCUAUACAUUACAGUAGCAUGUUUAUCAUUUAUCGAUAUUUCAGUGUUAUUUUACCAUACAAUUGGAUGAAGAAUUGAUGUGGUUCUAACUAUUCUUUUUUUUUUCUCCCUCCCCUUGGUCUCUUUUCUUUUGGCAAAAGCCUGCUGAGCUAACAGCACCAUUGUUAAGUGGGCCUCCUGCACCUGUACCAAUGAAGAAGCCGCUUAUCAGGUUGAACUUCACCUCCUUAGGCAAAGCUGCCGACAAAAGUGUUUAAGCUACAACUACAGUUAAAACUCUAUAAAUUAAUAAUGUCAGGACCAGAUAAAUUUAUUAAUUUAGAGAGUUAGUAAUUUAUCGAUAAAUUAAUAAUUAUUAAUUUAAAAAGUUUUAAAGUAAUUAUACUGUACAUACCAAACAAAAAGACAAAUUAGUCUAUGUCUCUUAGAAUUACGUUGCAGCGAACCUUGGGACUCAACGUAAAUUAGUAACUACUGUGUUCAUAUGUAUUGGAAAUCAAUAAUGACUUUUGAAGUACAGUAAAUGUAAACAAGAGGAACAAAUGUGCUCAAUGUAUUCUUAAGCAAGUUUGACAUAUAUAAAUUACAUGAAUGUGUUAGAGUA